CUGUGAGCAGGAGGCCAACCUGUACAAUGUCAAGAUUUGAUAAAAUGUCCUUUUUCUCAUCAUGGAUCAAAGUUAUUUUCAUCACUGCCUUGGUAUUUGUCCUUCAUUCUGAAGCUUUAAUUGCAGCAUUAAAACG